AGCGAACGCUGGCGGCAGGCCUAACACAUGCAAGUCGAACGAACUCUUCGGAGUUAGUGGCGGACGGGUGAGUAACCCGUGGGAACGUGCCUUUUGGUUCGGAAUAACUCAGGGAAACUUGUGCUAAUACCGAAUGUGCCCUUCGGGGGAAAGAUUUAUCGCCAUUAGAGCGGCCCGCGUCUGAUUAGCUAGUUGGUGAGGUAACGGCUCACCAAGGCGACGAUCAGUAGCUGGUCUGAGAGGAUGACCAGCCACACUGGGACUGAGACACGGCCCAGACUCCUGCGGGAGGCAGCAGUGGGGAAUCUUGCGCAAUGGGCGAAAGCCUGACGCAGCCAUGCCGCGUGAAUGAUGAAGGUCUUAGGAUUGUAAAAUUCUUUCACCGGGGACGAUAAUGACGGUACCCGGAGAAGAAGCCCCGGCUAACUUCGUG
rnacentral:rRNA from 1 species